rnacentral:rRNA from 1 species
UAAGAGGUCUAGCCUGCCCAGUGACUAAAAUUCAACGGCCGCGGUAUCCUGACCGCGCGAAGGUAGCGUAAUCACUUGUUUUUUAAAUAAAGACUAGUAUGAAUGGCACCACGAGGAUCAAACUGUCUCCUUUACAUAAUCAGUGAAACUAAUCCCCCCGUGAAAAAGCAGGGAUUAAACUACAAGACGAAAAGACCCUAUGGAGCUUUAAAUACGUAACUAGCACUAGUUAUAAGUUUUAGGUUGGGGUGACCGCGGAGAAAAACAUAUCCUCCAUGACGAAUAAGUUUACUUUAAACAAAAAGUCACAACUUCAUGUAUCAACAAAUUGACAUACUGAUCCAAUAAUCUGAUCAACGAACCAAGUUACCCUAGGGAUAACAGCGCAAUCCACUUUAAGAGUUCAUAUCGACAAGUGGGCUUACGACCUCGAUGUUGGAUCAGGGUAUCCCAGUGGUGCAGCCGCUACUAAAG